rnacentral:lncRNA from 1 species
GCUCUGACUCCAGACCUCUGUGGGUGGGGCUUGAGUCUCCCCUCCAACAUCUGGGCCCCAUUUGACCAAGACAAGAUUCCUCCAUCUGCUAUGCCACCCUAACCCCUGGCUGUUGUGUCAGGAGCAGCUGUAGGACAGCAGCCCUGCCCUCAUUCCCACCCCUAGCAGAACCUUCAUCUCUGAUUUUAGCCUUCUCUGCUGAGAAGU